AGUCGAGUCGGGGGCACUCGGGGGACACAGCACUUCAGGUUCAGCCUGGGCACAGCCAAGCGUCCUGCUCAACCCACGCUGCAGGGAUAAAGGAGACUCGAGAAGCAGCCCACACCACCAGGCUUCUGGCCACUCAUGUCACUUACACGUCCCUUGUGAGACCACAGCCACUGGAUACUUAACCAGGCAGAGACCAGACAGGGGUGAGCAGAGACCCCAGACACCAAAGAAGGCAAGUCACGGACACAAGCAGAGCUGUAUGCUGGUUUUAAUGUUCCUAAGAACUAGGAAACAGAAAUCAAAAAUAGAUUUUGCUCUUCUUGAUAAAAGUAAUAAAAUGGUUAGCGGUGUUAAAUUAAUUCUUACAAAACAAAACCCAAGGAGGUUAAAUAAAGCCCGGAGGCUCCGCAUAAAAACCACAAUGACUACAAAACAGCUGCAAAGACAUCUUUACACACCAAAGAAACUCUUCUCCUCUGCUCCUCCCCUCUCCAGGACACAAUGUCAGCGAACACAGGACUCACACAUGAGAAAGAAACACAGAUGCGAUGGGAGCAGCCCCACGAGGAGCGUGGGCGCCACAGACAGAACUAUUUACACUAUGGACACGGAGCCGUGCUGGGGCCAGUCCGGCCGCAGGAGCCCCCGGGCUCUGCCCGUCCCUCUCCUACCGGGGCCCCUCCGGCCGCGGCGCUCAGCGCCCAGCACUCGCGCUUGCCAUCCAUCCCUCCAUCUGUUCCACCGUCCUUCUGCCUGUCCACGCGCGCGUCCCAGCCCUGGCUGUCCCUUCCCUCGGCGCUCCGGCGUCGCGGAGCUGCCGGCUCCUCCUGCCGCGCCACACUGGGCUCCCUCGCCCCUGCUGAGGGCUGUGGCUGAGCCUCCUCUCCCACUGGCCGCCGGGCGCUCCCGGCUCCUGGGGGCUGGCGUGCAGUUCGCAGAGGAGAGCAGGUGCCGUGGAGCUGCUGCGCAGGAGUCCUGGGCCGGUGCUGUGCAGCCAGCAGUCUCUGCUGCCCCGGCCAGCCUCCCCCGGGGCCACCGGCACCUCCCCUGCUGCCUCACACCUCUGCCUUAGUUGGGAUUAGUCUCUCGGCUGCUGC